rnacentral:piRNA from 1 species
UAUGUGUGUAGAAAAAUAGAAUCAAGAAGC